rnacentral:rRNA from 1 species
AUGGCGCAGUCCCAUGACCUGGUGCUCGCCUUCGCCUCCCUCCUGCACCGGCUGGUGACCGUGCUCCCUCUCCGGCGCGGCGGCCUCGCUGCUCCGACGACCCCAAGCUCCGCCUCCUCGUCUCCAUUAAAGGUCACGGUGCUGUUCCGGUGGUUUUCCGGUGGCGGUGGUGUUCCAGUGUGGUUGUGCCUUCCGGUGGUGGUCUGUCCACCGGAGCUCCUGCUGCCGCUCUUCUCCGACGACGCCGUGGUUGGACUGCUGAUUUUGGUCAGGUCACGCGGUCGUUCCGGUGAUGUUGUGGUUGUGGUGGAGUCCUCUGGCGGUGGUGCUGACCUCCAGGGGUGCUGUGGUGGACUGGUGUUGGUGCUGUCCACCGGAGCUCCUGCUGCCGGUGUACAUGUUGCCGAGCUGCUGCUGGGGACGUCGACUACGACAUGGUCUCCCUGCCUUCUUCGACUUGGACCCCUCCUACAGCACCGUGUCCCCACCGGCGUCCCACAGAAGGUGAUGAUGAACCUGUGA